rnacentral:rRNA from 1 species
UACGUAGGGUGCAAGCGUUGUUCGGAAUUACUGGGCGUAAAGGGCGCGUAGGCGGCCUUCUAAGUCGAACGUGAAAUCCCCGGGCUCAACCCGGGAACUGCGUCCGAUACUGGAUGGCUUGAAUCCGGGAGAGGGAUGCAGAAUUCCAGGUGUAGCGGUGAAAUGCGUAGAUAUCUGGAGGAAUACCGGUGGCGAAGGCGGCAUCCUGGACCGGCAUUGACGCUGAGGAGCGAAAGCCAGGGGAGCAAACGGG